CGGAGGCACCUGCACAGGUGCUGCAUGGCUGUCGUCAGCUCGUGUCGUGAGAUGUUCGGGGUUAAGUCUCGCAACGAGCGCAACCCCUAUCUCUAGUUGCCAGCGAUUCGGUCGGGGACUCUAGAGAUACUGCCCCGGUUAACGGGAGAAGGUGGGGAUGACGUCAAGUCCUCAUGGCCCUUAUGCCCAGGGCUACACACGUGCUACAAUGGGCGGUACAAAGGGUAGCGAUGCCGCGAGGUGAAGCCAAUCCCAAAAAGCCGUCCACAGUUCGGAUUGGAGUCUGCAACUCGACUCCAUGAAGCCGGAAUCGCUAGUAAUCGUGGAUCAGCAUGCCACGGUGAAUACGUUCCCGGGCCUU
rnacentral:rRNA from 1 species